UACAGAGGUCUCAAGCGUUAGGCGGAAUCACUGGGCUUAAAGCGUGUGUAGGUGGGUUUGUAAGUACCUUGUGAAAUCCCAUGGCUCAACCAUGGAACUGCUGGGUAUACUGCGAAUCUUGAGCUGUCUAGAGGUUACUGGAACAAACGGUGGAGCGGUGAAAUGCGUAGAUAUCGUUUGGAACGCCAAUGGUGAAAACAGGUAACUGGGGACACGCUGACACUGAGACACGAAAGCCAGGGGAGCAAACGGGAUUAGAUACCCCGGUAGUCCUGGCCCUAAACGAUGUCCACUAGAUCGUAGUCGCUCUGACGUGAUUAUGGUCGAAGCAAAAGUGCUAAGUGGACCGCCUGGGAAGUACGGUCGCAAGGCUAAA
rnacentral:rRNA from 1 species